GGUUCGAUGGCGUAGCUGGUUAUCGCAUCUGUCUAACACUCUUCGCAUUGCGAUGCUCUACACAGAAGGUCCCCGGUUCGAGCCCGGGUCGAAUCA